UUAGCCUAGAAUUCUAUGGCACGUUAUUUAAGUGCCAACCACUGGUACCAUUAAUGCUAGUUACUGCUAGUUUGACCACCAAGGGGGCAUCUUUGAGAAGCAUUUGAUAGCCUUCAAUAGUGGCUGUACUAGAAAAUGUCAAACCUUUUUUUGUAAGAACACAGUAUAUGGGACUGAUUUUUAAGAAAUUUAGCUUAAUUAAUUUGUUUAAUAUUAUGGUGUUUCUCGUCCAAGAACAACUAAAAUUUCUCUGGGUUUCCAUUAGGAUGGAACGGAAAAUAUGUCACUACAGCGUGACGGUCGGGAGUAGGCUACAGUACUUGGCUAUUUUGCUAAAGAAUCCCUCUGUCUUGCGGGAGAUGGGUUCAAUUCUCUGACGGGGAGGAAGGAGUAGGCUGUCCUUGUAAAUAAGAAUUUGUUCUUAACUGACUUGCCUACCCAAAUGGAGAUUCAGUGAAAAUUAAAACUAACUGAUUUAUCAAGACCAGUCCCCAUGCUUGGUUCAGAGCAGUGUGAAACGGUGCUAAAAUAGUUGUAGGCUAUUGCUUCAAAUCCUAUUGCUUCUAACUUCAAUAUGCUCUUCAAAUAAAUAAGACCAUUUUUAACAGCACAUUACUCAACACUAGUGGCGGCCAGCACCGGGAGACCCAUGAGGCCGCUUUUGGAUUUAAUUCUGAAUCCUCUAUAUGUAAUUAUUGGCAAGUCACGUCAUAUUUUUCGAUAUACUGUAGGCCUACCAUAGACUCAGUAGUGUUGAGUAAUGUGCUGUUAAAAGUGGUGUGGGUCUUAUUUGAAGAGCAUAUUGAAGUUGGAAGCAAUAUAAUUUGAAGCACAAAGUAUCAAAAUACAGAGUGGUGUUGGUAAAGGAAUAUUGUCCUGCUAAUAGCCCAUAAUAUUAUUAUAUAAUAUUACUGUACGUGGUGUCCAGGUCAGGAUAACCAAAGCAUUUAUUUAUUAAAGACUAUCAGAAAGAAUGUUGGUACUUAUUUGUUUUGAUCCAAAGCCAUGAAUGAGUGAGUCACUCAGCUUUAUGUAGGUGCCGGGCUAUAUGACUGUGCCAUCAACUUGAAAAUAUAUAACAAUAUUUUGGAGGUUAUUUUGUUUUGUUUUUAAACGAAAGUGAGCGAUUGUAAUCUGAAUAAAGGCCAAAACAUUUAUUUCUGUUUUUAGAGGGAGAGAAAUGCUGGGCCAAUUGUGCGAUGCCCUAUGUGAUUCCCAAUUAGGGGUCGGAUGUGAUCCAUUAUAUUUUUUGUCUUUUUCUGGUGGAUUAAACUGAAAUUGCAACCAAUCACGGCCAACCUAACUACCUGCUAAUAGCCAUGAUGGUGCUGGACAACGUGACCAUGUGUGUAUUUUCCAGUGAACAACAAUUUCUUUACCUUCAUUAGACAACUUUGUUCCAAUAUUUCUGUAAUUCAGUGAUAUUUAUUCCCAUAGUAAUUUGUUAUGGAUCCAUAACUAAGUAAACAUCUGCAUUUUGAAAGAGUAUUUUUUUAAUCAUUUAUUAACGAAAGCAUAAAGACACGGAUGAAGAAAUACAGUACUGUAAAGUAUAUGCUUUUACUUUUGGAUAAUAAAUCAUUUAAAGAGUUUUGCAUAUAAAAGCCACCUGAAUUUGUUUAUUAGGCUAUAGCAGAACAGCACAACGGUCCGGACCGCCCUUGCUGUGCCUGGGUAGCAGUUGAUCAAGUUCUGUUGUCAGAAGAGGAAUGGAAAUGUCAGGAUGAACCGAUGACCUGAUGAAACUGCCAGGUAUGUUGACUCUGAAUGUCAGAGGUGGAGUUCCAGAGCUCACUGGUGUGCCUGGCAUUGUGUUCCUCGCCCUCUUCAACCCGUCAUUCUCCGCCAAUGGCACCUGGCUCUGGACCAACGCAUCAGCUGUCGCCCGUAUCUGCCCUCAGAUGUUUAUCUUUCUGCUGGUCUGCCUUCAAUGGCUCGAUCUGGGUCUUCAAAGUUUGAAUCUGAUCCAUGUGCACCUUCAUCAGAUGAGCAGAAUGGUAUCGCCCUGAGCCCCCAUCGAUUAGUGGCCUAUGAACAGAUAGACUAUUCAAGCCAUCGACUCAAUGAUGAAUGAAGAUGAUGAGCGAUCGGCAAAGGCAAUCUGGAAUCUGAUGGCAUCACAGCACAACAUCAACAUUGCUCUAAUCACAGUCAGAAGACAGUUGAAGAAACUGACUUAUGGAAAGGCUCGGUUCGGCAUUCAAUGUCAUCUUCACAGACGAAUCAACCGUGGCUCUUGAACAAUUUGCUUAAAAUUGCUACUGAAAAAAAGAAAGAAGGUUAAGCAAGCCGAGUUCCAAGCAUCCGCUCAAACUCGACGUGUGGGGCAAUUUCUCGCCAGGGACCAGGCCCAAAUUAGAUUUUUGAUGGUUAGCUUGGCUAUUUACAAAUCAAAAGGUACAUCAAAUAUUGUAGCCUACAACGCACGGACUGUUAUGUGUUCCACAUUUCACUGUUGUCUCCUUUUUCAGAUGUCAUUGGGGAAGAAAUCAAGAGAUAUGCUGGACCAUAUGUCAGAGAGGUGUUUCUGGUACCACGUUGUUUCUUUCAAGGUCACUUGCUCUGAGACCUUGAAGUAGUGGUUCCCCUUGCUCUGCAAGGGCCGCGGCUUUUGUGGAGCGAUGGGUAAUGAUGCUUCGUGGGUGACUGUUGUUGAUUUGUGCAGAGGGUCUCUGGUUCGAGCCCGGGUAUGGGCGAGGGGACGGUCUAAAGUUAUACUGUUACAUUUAGGCCUAUGUACAUGUAUAUUUCUAGUGUUGUACCUAAUGUUGGCUGUUAGGCUAAAUGUUUUUUUAAAUGCGGACAAUGACCCAAAACACACUGCCGCCCGGGUUUGCAUUGCAAAUGAGGGCAUAAACUGAGUCAAGAUGCCAGCACAUUUUAUGUAUGGUGGUCCUUCUGU